rnacentral:lncRNA from 10 species
AGGUCUAACGUUUAAGUCUUUAAUCCAUCUUGAAUUGAUUUUUGUAUAAGGUGUAAGGAAGGGAUCCAGUUUCCUUCUAAACUUUUAGAAGGAAUAAAAGGUGAAAUCUCAUCAAUAGUGUGAUAUUGAGCCCUGGUAAAAUUCUAGGGCUCAAUGUUUAUGGAGUUAUUAAACAGAUGACUUGGUUUAAAACAUUGACUUUUCUAUGAAUGAUCUCGUAUUUUCUGCUCUGUUUAUGCGUUUAUAUUUUACAACAUACAGAUUAUGUCUUAGGCCUCCACACCCAGCCAAGAUAGACCUUUCAACAAAUGGUGCUAGAGCAAUUGGACAUUCAUAGGCAAAAACAAACUCAACUUGAAUGAACCUCACACUUUGUACAAAAAUGUACUUAAAAUGGAUCACAUGCUUAAAUGUAAAAUAUAAAACUGUAAACCCUUUUGGGAAAAAAAUAGGAGAAAAUCUUCAUGAUCUAGGGUUAUGCAAAGCAUUCUUUCUUUGACUUGACACAAAAAACACAAUGUAUAAAAGAAAAAUGGAUAAAUUGGACUUCAUCAAAAUUAAAAAUUGCUGCUCUGCAAAAGCCCACAUGUAGGGGCUGAAAAGUCCAGCUACAGACUAGGAGGAAAAUAUUUGCAAACUGUGUAUCUUGACAAAGGACUAGUACCUGGAAUAUAUAAAGAACCUGAACACUCAGCAGUUUUUUGAAAAAUUCAAUUAGAAAAUGGGCAAAGACAUAGACAGACAUUUCAUUGAAGAGGAUAUACAGAUGGCUAAGAAGCACAUGAAAAAGAUGUUCAACAUCAUUAGCCAGGGAAAUGCAAAUUACAACCACAUGAGAUAUCAUUGCAUACCUAUUAGAAUGGCUAAAAUUAAAAAUAAUGAUAACACCAAAUCUGCUAGUUGUUUCUUUUAUGAUUUUCUUUUUUAAUGUGUACUGUGCACCGUUGUUUUUACUGUGAUUUUACUAAAGAGUGUCCUUAAACAUUUUACAAACAUUCGUAAUAGGUAACACUCUUCAUAAUAAAAAGGAAUAACCUUGUCUGAAUUUUUGGAAGACAGGUUUUUAGGUUUUUGUUUUUGCCUUUCCUCCAAUUCUUUGUUGAUUUACUUUGUCAUUUUAAUAACCCUCUUUUUAUGAUUUAUUUUCUCUUUAUUAUUCCUUUGUGUUCUUCGAGUUUUCUUUAAUUAGAUUUAUCAGUAAAGCCCUUUAGCAGCUAGUACUAUUGUUCAUAGUUCUCUGCAACUUUAUCAGUAGGGCUUUUACAACCUAAAACUUCUAAAUUCAAAUUUUUUCUUCCGUUAAUCUCAAUAAU